GGUCGGGUGGUCUGUUGGCAGGCCGGUCGGGUUUUCACCCCGGCGUCAUCGCGGGUUCGAUUCCCGUCCCGACUG
rnacentral:tRNA from 1 species